GGUCCGUUAGCUCAGUGGGCAGAGCGCGGUGCUGAUAACGCCGAGGUCGUGAGUUCAAGCCUCACACGGACCA
rnacentral:tRNA from 1 species